rnacentral:rRNA from 1 species
GACGAACCGUGCGAACGUUGUUCGGAAUCACUGGGCUUAAAGGGCGCGUAGGCGGGUUCGCAAGUCAGGGGUGAAAUCUUUCAGCUUAACUGGAAAACAGCCCCUGAUACUGCGAGUCUCGAGGGAGGUAGGGGCAUGUGGAACUUCCGGUGGAGCGGUGAAAUGCGUAGAUAUCGGAAGGAACACCGAUUGCGAAGGCAGCUCGCUGGGACGUAACUGACGCUGAGACGCGAAAGCGUGGGGAGCAAACAGG